UACAGGGGUCUCGAGCGUUAAUCGGAAUCACUGGGCUUAAAGGGUGCGUAGGCGGAUCCGUCAGCGCUUUGUGAAAUCCCCCGGCUCAACCGGGGAAUUGCAGGGCGAACUGCGGAUCUUGAGGAAACUAGAGGCCGGUAGAACGAUUGGUGGAGCGGUGGAAUGCAUAGAUAUCAAUCGGAAUGCCAAAAGUGAAGACAGCCGGCUGGGGUUUUCCUGACGCUGAGGCACGAAAGCGUGGGGAGCAAACCGG
rnacentral:rRNA from 1 species